AGAGUUUGAUCCUGGCUCAGGAUGAACGCUGGCGGCGUGCCUAACACAUGCAAGUCGAACGAGAACCCAUUCUUCGGAUUGGGGGACAGUGGCGAACGGGUGAGUAACACGUUGGUGACCUGCCCCGAAGCGGGGGACAACCACGGGAAACUGUGGCUAAUACCGCAUGUGCUCCAGGGGGUUAGAGGACUCUGGAGUAAAGCUCCGGCGCUUCGGGAGGGGCCUGCGGCCUAUCAGCUAGUUGGUGGGGUAAUGGCCUACCAAGGCUAAGACGGGUAGGGGGCGUGAGAGCGUGACCCCCCACAAUGGAACUGAGACACGGUCCAUACUCCUACGGGAGGCAGCAGUGAGGAAUAUUGCGCAAUGGGGGCAACCCUGACGCAGCAACGCCGCGUGGGUGAUGAAGGCCUUCGGGUCGUAAAACCCUUUUCUGGGGGAAGAGAAAGGACGGCACCUCAGGAAUAAGUCCCGGCUAACUACGUGCCAGCAGCCGCGGUAAAACGUAGGGGGCAAGCGUUAUCCGGAUUUACUGGGCGUAAAGCGCGUGCAGGCGGCUUGGUAGGUUGGACGUGAAAGCUCCCGGCUCAACUGGGAGAGGCCGUUCAAUACCGCCAGGCUUGAGGGCGGGAGAGGGGAGUGGAAUUCCCGGUGUAGUGGUGGAAUGCGUAGAUAUCGGGAGGAACACCUGUGGCGAAGGCGACUCCCUGGUCCGCAUCUGACGCUAAGACGCGAAAGCGUGGGGAGCAAACGGGAUUAGAUACCCCGGUAGUCCACGCUGUAAACGAUGGAUGCUAGGUGUGGGUGGUAUUGACCCCAUCCGUGCCGUAGCUAACGCGUUAAGCAUCCCGCCUGGGGACUACGGCCGCAAGGUUAAAACUCAAAGGAAUUGACGGGGGCCCGCACAAGCAGCGGAGCGUGUGGUUUAAUUCGAUCUACGCGAAGAACCUUACCUGGGCUUGACAUGUACGUAGUAGUGAAGCGAAAGUGGAACGACCCUUCGGGGAGCGUACACAGGUGCUGCAUGGCUGUCGUCAGCUCGUGUCGUGAGAUGUUGGGUUAAGUCCCGCAACGAGCGCAACCCUCGCUGUUAGUUAUACGUGUCUAACGGGACUGCCGGUAUAAAACCGGAGGAAGGUGGGGAUGACGUCAAGUCAGCAUGGCCUUUAUGUCCAGGGCUACACACACGCUACAAUGGUCGGUACAAUGGGCUGCCACACCGCGAGGUGGAGCCAAUCCUAAAAGCCGGCCUCAGUUCAGAUUGCAGUCUGCAACUCGACUGCAUGAAGGUGGAGUUGCUAGUAACCGCGCGUCAGCAACAGAGCGGUGAAUACGUUCCCGGGCCUUGUACACACCGCCCGUCACGUCAUGGGAGCCGGUAACACCUGAAGUCAGUGGGUCAACCGUAAGGAGACAGCUGCCUAAGGUGGGACUGGUGACUGGGACGAAGUCGUAACAAGGUA
rnacentral:rRNA from 1 species